UAACGUAUCUCGUUUCAACUGACGAUGUGUUUGAUGAUUAUGUCAAUAAUAAAGUUUUUCUCAACUUUAGAAAAUUAUACAACAUUAUCAUAAAAAAAUGUUAUUACCAAUAUUAUUUACUGUUUUUUUAUGUGUAAUUUGUGUGUAAAUAAAAUAUAUAUUUUUAAAAUAAUACUAACAAUAUACGUUGUAAUAUGUAAUUUUUAAGACAAGAAGUCAUGGAAUUGUGAGAAAUAAUAUUAAAAAAUUAAGAAAAAAAAUCAUAGUAUUUAAUAAAUUAGAAAUUAUAACAUUCAACAAAUUGCUUCAAGAUUUAUAAUAAUAAUUUAUAAAUGCCAGAAUCUAACUGAGCUUUGGAUGCUGCUGUAUUGUACUAUAUUCCACAGUCUGCUCUUUUCUGCAGAAGCCCACAGUCUCCUGCUGGAUAAAAAUGGUCUGUUCUACACUUACCUUGUUGCCCCCUUCCUCCAUUAUUGGUUGUUGGUUCUCACUGAUGAUGGCUAAAAGAUAUGUCCACACAUAUGCAAAAACAUUUGAUGUUUUGUCUCUUUAUUUGCGCCACAGGACGAGGAGGAGGAGGAGGAGUGGUGUAACGAGGUUCGGUCGUGCAGGAUUCAGCAGGAGAAAAGGUGAACAAAACAAAAAAGAAAAAAGAAAAGGAGAAGACAAGUAGGAAGAAUGGGCUGUCAAUCAUGCCCAGGAAGUCAGUUGGUUGCCAUGGAAGCGGCCAGCCCUUCCUGCUGCUGCUGGCCCUCCUCCCCCUCUUCCUCUUCCUGUAGCGUGUGAGUAAGGCCGAUGGACGUCGCCGCAUCGGAGGCCUUCAGCUCAGCCAUUGGCUCCUGCGGCUGUUGCCCCGGACUACUGCCGCCGGAGGUGUCCCCUGGCUGUGUGGGCGGAGUCAAUGUGGCCGACUCUGGCUCCAUACACAGUGUCACCUCUCUAUCCUGAGGCAAACACACAGAUGGAUACCGUCAACCAGAGGCGGGUGCACGUGUUGGACCAGGCUGUGAAUGGUGCUGUUGGGGGUCGGUUGCAAGGAGUGGUUGGCGCUGUGCAGCCUGUGUUCUAGCGACUAGAAAGCAACAACAAUGACGAGACUGGGAUCAGCGGGAUCUGUUUGGAUUCAUCCAUCCAAUUAUGGAAGUGAGCGGCCGCCUGCCCGUCGUAACCCUCGGUGCCCAAGAGGUAGGAGCCGGUGGGGGGAGACGCCACGCCAGUCGAAUCAUUGUUGAUGGGAUCCCAAGCGUCCGAGGAAGAGAGGCAGUAGUGUCCUUGGGAGACAUAGGUGUGGGGCCACACUUCCGCAGAGGAGUGGUGCAAGAUCUGGUCUGGAAUAUUGGCGGGAAAAAAGGACGCGCAAACUGGCAGUUCCACACACGGCUGCAGGAUCAGUGCUUGCACUGCACAGACAAGACGAUGGACAGACGAGAAUCCUCUGUCCUACGUGUGUGUGUGUGUGUGUGUCAACAUUUUGGACGGUCAGAAAUAAAAAAAUAUUAGACACAUCGUCUAUUCAGCAACAUCAUUUUAUAAUUCUAUAGCUGCUAGAGAAUUUGAGGACUUACUCAAAUGAAUUAAAUGUAUGUGUUUUGGUGUCAUUUAAAAAAAAAAGAUAUUUCUUUAUUUAACAAGGAAUGUACAGUACAGGCCAAAAGUUUGGACACACCUUCUCAUUUCAAUGUGUUUUCUUUAUUUUCAUGACUAUUUACAUUGUAGAUUGUCACUGAAGGUAUCAAAACUAUGACACCUCUGAAGUGAAAACCAUUUCACUGUGAACCUGUUGGAGCUGAUCGCAUGAGAUGUAUGAAUAAAUUAUGUGAACGUGUUGUGAGACAUCAUCGGUUUAGUCCAAUCUGCACUGCACUGCACUCAAAUAAACUGCACUGCAGAAGACAACUAGAUCGCCGCAUCCAACAGAUGGGGCUGGUUUCUGUCUUUGCAACAUCCAGACCAUGUUAUAAUUAAUACAGAGUAGGGAUUCAUUUGUGAAAUGAAUGUGUAUACGAUGGA